rnacentral:lncRNA from 1 species
CUCAGAACAGUUUCAGGCAUUCAAUGACAAUUUUCUGACUUUAAGUCGGAUGUCCAAAGACCUCCUUGAGAUGCCAUGUGAGAGUGAGCCCUCUGGAACUGAGUCCAGCACUCCUGGAAGAAAUAGUGAAAUGCAGCCUUUGCUGUCACUUGGGGAUUGCAGCACAGAUGAGGAAGAAGAAGAUUUUCUUGACAAGCAGAAUGUCAUUACACUACCAUGGGCAAAGAGGGCUUAACAGUUCAUUACUUUCCAUUCUGUACUCAAAAUAAACCAAACAACUGAGUGAUUAA